AUGAAGGUAAGCGUCCAAGAAAUGUCUUUGAAAAGGCCUUAGAUUGCACCAGAGAGCAUCUACGACAUAACAAAUUUCCGGGGCCCUAGAGCGGGCCCCGGACCCCAAUGACGUCAUGCUUCGCGCUCGCAAUUUCAGAUUUGGUAAUGCCCCUACCCUUUAAUUUUAGCUGGCUAGAACCCUGCUUGCAACAUACGGUUAUCGGUCGGAUCUAGGUUAGCCGCACACUUGUAUUCAUGGAAUAGCAUAUUUGGGUAGGCAUUUUAUCGCCCAGUGAAAAGAAGGUGUACUUGAACUUUGAUUUAUUGGUGAUCAUAUACCCGUGGUUCUAUAGAGAAAGCAGAAAUUAACCCCAAUCAAUUAUACAUAUUGGGCUGGUAACA